GGAGAGGUGCCCGAGCCUGGUUGAAGGGGCGCGACUCGAAAUCGCGUAGGGGUGGCAAAAACCAUCCCUCGGGGGUUCAAAUCCCCCCCUCUCCG
rnacentral:tRNA from 1 species